AAGGCUUUAGUUUAAUUAAAACGCCUGGUUUGCAACUAGGUAAUGCGAGUUAGUGUCUCGUAGGUCUUA
rnacentral:tRNA from 1 species